CCCCACUUGUAUUGGAGUGGACGGCGAUAUCUACUUCUGGGCCACACGAAAUGACGGACCCCCGUCCACUCCCAGCUAAAACAGCUGCAAUACCAGGCUUGGCCUCUGAGCACUGGUGGAUUGCGGAAGUAUAUGCCUGUCCUGGGGGCCUGGUUCGAUCCACACUUCACGAUUAGCCCGUUUUGAGUACGGCAUCCGGGUCCUUGAAGUAUACUUAUUUUCGCCCGAUCUGAAUUGGAACGUACUGCGUACUCAAAUGUUGGCUAGUAAGUACGGAUAGUACGGGUAUUGGAACACGGCGGGGCGGGACUCUGCCCAAGUUUUCCCGCUUCUUCUCAGUUUGGGGCCGAAUCAACUGAACAAUAGAAUCUCGGAUCUCCAUUUUUGUGCCAUUCAAGUGCAUGUGACGAUUGAUCUGGACUCAAGCUGUAGGCCUACCAGUCAGAUGAGUAACUCGGUGGAGGAGGUGAGACACCAUAUCAAUACUUUAAACAUCUGUUCAUGCAACAUUGGAGGACUUUGCGGAUAUCAGGGCCUACUUUUCCACAACAAAAUGGAACCGCCUCUGUAUGGCAGAGAAAAAAAGAUUCAUGCAGAUCAAGGAAAACCAUUUGGUUCUGGCGUCUCUUGGCCUGUCCUUUGUGGCUCCAGCCUUCAUGAGGAGAGAGAAGCCCGGCCAGGUGAGAGUCUGCUCACCUGAAGAGACAGACUCUGAGGAGGAGCAGCUCUGGACCUCUGGAUUGACCGGUACAAAG